GGGGAUUUAGCUCAGUGGUAGAGCGCUUGCCUAGCAAGCACAAGGUCCUGGGUUUGGUCCCCAGCUCCG
rfam:Rattus norvegicus chromosome 12, whole genome shotgun sequence.